rnacentral:rRNA from 1 species
UACGGGGGGGGCAAGCGUUGUUCGGAAUUAUUGGGCGUAAAGGGCUUGUAGGCGGCCAACUAAGUCGGAUGUGAAAUCCCCAGGCUCAACCUGGGAACUGCAUCCGAUACUGGAUAGCUUGAAUCCGGGAGAGGGAUGCAGAAUUCCAGGUGUAGCGGUGAAAUGCGUAGAUAUCUGGAGGAAUACCGGUGGCGAAGGCGGCAUCCUGGACCGGCAUUGACGCUGAGGAGCGAAAGCUAGGGGAGCAAACGGG